rnacentral:rRNA from 1 species
AACGAACGCUGGCGGCAUGCCUAACACAUGCAAGUCGAACGGAUGCAGCAAUGCAUCAGUGGCAGACGGGUGAGUAACACGUGGGAAUCUACCCAGUAGCCUGGAAUAACCGCGGGAAACUGCGGCUAAUACCGGAUACGCCCCUCGGGGGAAAGGAGCAAUCCACUAUUGGAGGAGCCCGCGUCCGAUUAGCAAGUUGGUGAGGUAACGGCUCACCAAGGCGAUGAUCGGUAGCUGGUUUGAGAGAACGACCAGCCACACUGGGACUGAGACACGGCCCAGACUCCUACGGGAGGCAGCAGUGGGGAAUAUUGGACAAUGGGGGAAACCCUGAUCCAGCAAUGCCGCGUGGGUGAUGAAGGCCUUCGGGUUGUAAAGCCCUUUUGGCGGGGACGAUGAUGACGGUACCCGCAGAAGAAGCCCCGGCUAACUUCGUGCCAGCCGCCGCGGUAAUAC